rnacentral:misc_RNA from 1 species
GCACUAGGGUUUGAGUCUGAUGAGCCUUAAGCCUAAGGCGCGCCUUUAACAACUAUGAUAAUAUAUACCCCUCAUUUUACAUAUCAACAAGAAGAUAUAAUUUUACCGCACUCUUAGAUAUAUCAGCUCCAAUCGGCUAUAUCCAACAACUAUAGCUGAACUAGAUAGGCACUAAAACCUUCCCCAAAUGUAUUUGGUUACAACAGAGUGAUCCUUACAACUUGAACAAGGCUUCU